AAUUUUCCCCUAUAACGAUUGAUAGACGAUAUCACUUGUUAUUUGAGACAAAAAGUCGAUUAUUUACUUCAUUAAUCUUCGAUAAAUUUAUCUAAUGCAAAAUUUAUUACAUCAACCAUACAGAAACCACAACAAGUCAUAAACAGUCUACAUCCACAAGCUAUCUCAUGGAUGGACAAGUUAAAAAACCGAAACGAAACGAGGCGAGCAAUAUUUUUUUUAUAUUACCAUGUACGAAGGGACACGAUCGAUGAACGUCUGCAGCUCGGUAUUCCCUGAAUGCCUACCAACCAAUCUUCUACCUUCGCCAUUGAGCACCAGCGCGGCUAAUUGCUCCAUGUUGCCGGUCUCCAGCAGCUUCUCGAUUUCCGGAUCGGCCGUCAUCGUGCCCUCGUUCAAGUCUGCUUCCGGAAGCUCCUCGUGUUCGCCGACGAUCACCUGCUGAUCAUUUCCAAGUGCAAAACCAUGCGCACGAACGUCAUAACCCGACGAUCGAUACAGGAAAAUAUUAAUCUCACGUGACAAUCUAAAUACGGUUUAUUUUGGAAUAGCAUUAAUGUGGAGCAAUAAAAUUGUUUCGAUUCGUUUUUUGAUUUGUUACGUGAAUCAUAUUAAUUAUUUUAAAGAUAGGUUUUGAUUUCUUAUAUUUCAUAGAAUGGAAAUUU